AAAGGAAUAGACGGGGGCCCGCACAAGCGGAGGAACAUGUGGUUCAAUUCGAUGAUACGCGAGGAACCUUACCUGGGCUUGAAAGGGGAACGACGUCCCGGGAAACCGGGAUUCUCUUCGGAGCGGUCUCCUAGGUGCUGCAUGGUUGUCGUCAGCUCGUGCCGUGAGGUGUCGGGUUAAGUCCCAUAACGAGCGCAACCCUUAUCGUUAGUUGCCAGCGGGUAAUGCCGGGGACUCUAACGAAACUGCCGGCGUAAGCCGUGAGGAAGGUGGGGAUGACGUCAAAUCAGCACGGCCCUUAUGUCCAGGGCUACACACGUGUUACAAUGGCCGGUACAAAGGGCAGCUACCUGGUGACAGGAUGCUAAUCUCUAAAACCGGUCUCAGUUCGGAUUGAAGUCUGCAACUCGACUUCAUGAAGCUGGAUUCGCUAGUAAUCGCGCAUCAGCAACGGCGCGGUGAAUACGUUCCCGGGCCUUGUACACACCGCCCGU
rnacentral:rRNA from 1 species